AUUAUUUGGAACUGAAAAUUACGUAAUUUAUCGACCAGCAGGCUUGUAUUUGUUAUAAAUCAUAAAAAACCUGUGACGCCAGUGGAACUACGUGGUUUUCUUUCGUGAUGAUUUGAUGAUACCUCAAUGGAAUUGAGCCAAGUUUUCGCCGUAUUGGGUCCUAGAUGCCCCUUGGACUUAAGCCCCAGUGCCACUAUACUACCUUACCAGUUAUGUGUGGGUGUCCUAAGGCACCCCAGAGAUGCAAAGGACCUUCACAAACUCACGCCACGCCUUCCUAUCUUCAGCAACCCUCGUGACCUCGCUCCACCAGCUCAAACCUGCCAGUCGCAGCUCAUUUUUCGACGGACCGCUUCCAUGAGUAGACAAAGCACCGACGAUCACGGCUUGCAUCACCUGUACUGCUAUGUAAUAUAGCAUGCUGAACAAUACUGCCAUUAUACUAGGAUCAACGUCCUGCCCCUUCCCCGGCUGUGUACAAAUUGGAACUCCAUUUGCAUGCCCCUUUGACUGAGCAAUGUGUGUAUGUGCUCGAAACACAUUCACUUGCAACAGAAUGACUCCCAGGCUGACCUGGCUCAGCUCCUGUAUGUCUGUUCUACAUAGACAAUGGUUUCCAUGAAAGAGUCAAAAUUCUCUCCACAUACAAACACUUCCAACGCCUACACUGACUACACCAAAUAUGAUCAUCACUCAACGUGUCUCACAUCAAGAUACUUUUUAAAAGUCAUCAAGAAGGAACAUAAUAUCUUUUCCCAUGGUUUCCUGAAUAAUCCUAACUAAAAGUUACUUCUCUAUUCUAUUUUUCCUGCAUGGAGUGGCGCUUUUCCGUCUAAUGGAAACGAAAUGAACAUAUAUGCUCUGGGUUUUUUUUUUGUGCACCUUUCCAAUAUUACUAAUAAAGCAUUU